UGAGGGGGGCUGCUCCUAGUACGAGAGGACCGGAGUGGACGCAUCACUGGUGUUCGGGUUGUCAUGCCAAUGGCACUGCCCGGUAGCUAAAUGCGGAAGAGAUAAGUGCUGAAAGCAUCUAAGCACGAAACUUGCCCCGAGAUGAGUUCUCCCUGACUCCUUGAGAGUCCUGAAGGAACGUUGAAGACGACGACGUUGAUAGGCCGGGUGUGUAAGCGCAGCGAUGCGUUGAGCUAACCGGUACUAAUGAACCGUGAGGCUUAACAUUACAACGCCGAAG
rnacentral:rRNA from 1 species